rnacentral:rRNA from 2 species
UCGGGAACUGUGAGACAGGUGCUGCAUGGCUGUCGUCAGCUCGUGUUGUGAAAUGUUGGGUUAAGUCCCGCAACGAGCGCAACCCUUAUCCUUUGUUGCCAGCGGUCCGGCCGGGAACUCAAAGGAGACUGCCAGUGAUAAACUGGAGGAAGGUGGGGAUGACGUCAAGUCAUCAUGGCCCUUACGACCAGGGCUACACACGUGCUACAAUGGCGCAUACAAAGAGAAGCGACCUCGCGAGAGCAAGCGGACCUCAUAAAGUGCGUCGUAGUCCGGAUUGGAGUCUGCAACUCGACUCCAUGAAGUCGGAAUCGCUAGUAAUCGUGGAUCAGAAUGCCACGGUGAAUACGUUCCCGGGCCUUGUACACACCGCCCGUCACACCAUGGGAGUGGGUUGCAAAAGAAGUAGGUAGCUUAACCUUCGGGAGGGCGCUUACCACUUUGUGAUUCAUGACUGGGGUGAAGUCGUAACAAGGUAACCGUAGGGGAACCUGC